ensembl:snoRNA
UGGAGGACUGAGAAGGUGAGGCAGUUCUGCCCCGUGCUGCCUUCUACUGGUUAAGACCUCCAAAAUGGAAGGGCUGCCCAGGCAGAGGAUGUCUCCCUGCCACCUUUGGAGGGGCAGUGCUGUGCUGGCCAACAUUUG